rnacentral:tRNA from 1 species
AGUUCAGUCGGUUAGAGCGUGGUGCUGAUAACACCAAGGCCACGAGUUCGAUUCCCAU